rnacentral:rRNA from 1 species
UACGUAGGUGGCAAGCGUUGUCCGGAUUUACUGGGCGUAAAGAGCGCGCAGGCGGUCGUUUAAGUCGAAUGUGAAAGCCCCCGGCUUAACUGGGGAGGGUCAUUCGAUACUGAUCGACUUGAAGGCAGGAGAGGGAAGCAGAAUUCCCGGUGUAGUGGUGAAAUGCGUAGAUAUCUGGAGGAACACCGGUGGCGAAGGCGGGCAUCCUGGACCGGCAUUGACGCUGAGGCGCGAAAGCUAGGGGAGCAAACGGG